ACGAGAAGACCCCAUGGAGCUUUAAACCCAACAGCACCCGUUUAUUUUCAUCCUCACAUAAGUUAGGUUAUGCCUGUUUGGUUUUAGGUUGGGGUGACCACGGAGUAUAAAACAACCUCCAUGAAAAAAGGACCAAAAAUCCUUAUUAGAGAAAGACAUUUCUAAAAUUAAUAAAUUAAUUUUUAAUGAUCCGAUAUUCGAUCAACGAACCAAGUUACCCUGGGGAUAACAGCGCAAUCCACUUCAAGAGCUCCUAUCGACAAGUGGGUUUACGACCUCGAUGUUGGAUCAGGGUAUCCUAGUGGUGCAGCAGCUACUAACGGUUCGUUUGUUCAACGAUUAAAACCCU
rnacentral:rRNA from 1 species